UACUUUUUGAAGACCCGUUGAUCAUAGUUGUAACUAGAGGUAGCCUUAAAUUUGAUAAGUGGUUUCUUUCAUUUUUAUUCACAGAAAAUGUUUCAUGUUACAAUAGAAUAGGAAUAUCUCAGGUAACAAUUGAUGUUAUCUAAACAGAACCUAAUAUUAAUAGCACUGCUGAAUUGGCUCUAACUAAAUGUUGCAUAAAUUAGAAAUCUAUCAAGCUUCAUGAUGAUGGCAAGCAAAUGACGUCAUUUUCUCAAAUGCAUCACAAAAACAUGGAAGAGGAGAACGACAGCAUGUACAAGAAGGAGGCUGAAACUUAUCGAGCAUCAAUUUGAUCGAAUAAACUUAAUUUAAUCACGUUGUUUCUUCUCAAUUCCUUCAAAUGAGAUCAAAGGUGCAUCAUUUUUGUUUGUAUAAUUGCAAUGACGUCACAAGUAGUCAGGGGGCUCUGGAUUGGCAUGAGAAUCAUGUACGCACUGAAGUGCAGUGGCGUGAGCAGCUGUUACCAAUUACCCUCUGGUGGCAAAACAGCUGUGAAGAACUGCUUGCUGUUGGUAUGCAAUCACUGCAUAGUCUCUUCAUUGUUGCACUGAAUGCACUUCAAAC